rnacentral:rRNA from 1 species
CCUACGGGAGGCAGCAGUAGGGAAUUUUGCGCAAUGGGGGAAACCCUGACGCAGCAACGCCGCGUGAUCGAUGAAGCCCUUCGGGGUGUAAAGAUCUGUCAGUGGGGACGAAACCUGACGUUACUCACAGAGGAAGCACCGCCUAACUCCGUGCCAGCAGCCGCGGUAAUACUGGGGGUGCAAGCGUUGUCCGGAACCAUUGGGCGUAAAGAGUUCGUAGGUGGCAAGUUAAGUGUGGUGUUAAAGGGGGAAGCACAACAUCCGUAGGACACUGGAUAAUGGCGAGCUUGAAUGCGGUAGAGGUAAAGGGAAUUCCUGGUGUAGCGGUGAAAUGCGUAGAUAUCAGAAGGAACAUCGGUGGCGUAAGCGCGUUACUGGGACGUAAUUGACACUGAGGAACGAAAGCCGAGGUAGCAAAUGGGAUUAGAUACCCUUGUAGUC